AGUGGGGAAUAUUGCACAAUGGAGGAAACUCUGAUGCAGCAACGCCGCGUGGAGGAUGACACAUUUCGGUGCGUAAACUCCUUUUAUAUGGGAAGAUAAUGACGGUACCAUAUGAAUAAGCACCGGCUAACUCCGUGCCAGCAGCCGCGGUAAUACGGAGGGUGCAAGCGUUACUCGGAAUCACUGGGCGUAAAGCGCGCGCAGGCGGCUAUUUAAGUUGGAUGUGAAAGCCUACGGCUCAACCGUAGAACUGCAUCCAAAACUAUUUAGCUAGAGUGUGGGAGAGGAAGAUGGAAUUAGUUGUGUAGGGGUAAAAUCCGUAGAGAUAACUAGGAAUACCAAAAGCGAAGGCAAUCUUCUGGAACACUACUGACGCUGAGGCGCGAAGGCGUGGGGAGCAAACAGGAUUAGAUACCCUGGUAGUCCACGCAGUAAACGAUGAAUGUUAGUCGUCGGGGGCCUAGUGUCUUCGGUGAUGCAGCUAACGCAUUAAACAUUCCGCCUGGGGAGUACGGUCGCAAGAUUAAAACUCAAAGGAAUAGACGGGGACCCGCACAAGUGGUGGAGCAUGUGGUUUAAUUCGAAGAUACGCGAAGAACCUUACCUAGCCUUGACAUAUAUUAGAACUCAGUAGAGAUACAGAGGUGCCUUCGGGAGCUUUUAUACAGGUGCUGCACGGCUGUCGUCAGCUCGUGUCGUGAGAUGUUGGGUUAAGUCCCGCAACGAGCGCAACCCUCGUCACUAGUUACUAACGGUUCGGCCGAGGACUCUAGUGAGACUGCCUUCGUAAGGAGGAGGAAGGUGAGGACGACGUCAAGUCAUCAUGGCCCUUACGGCUAGGGCAACACACGUGCUACAAUGGCCAGGACAGUGAGACGCGAUACCGUGAGGUGGAGCAAAUCUAUAAACCUGGUCUCAGUUCGGAUUGUAGUCUGCAACUCGACUACAUGAAGCUGGAAUCACUAGUAAUCGUAGAUCAGCUAUGCUACGGUGAAUACGU
rnacentral:rRNA from 1 species